GUGGUCACGUGGGCAGUACAUAUACUAAAAUUUUAAUGAUACAGAGAUUAGCAAGGCCUGCGCAAGGAUGACACACAAAUUCAUGAAGUAUCCUGUAUUUUU